rnacentral:piRNA from 1 species
UUCCAAGCAUUUGACGGGUGACGCUGAA